UACGUAGGUAGCAAGCGUUGUCCGGAUUUACUGGGUGUAAAGGGCGUGCAGCCGGGUGUGCAAGUCAGGUGUGAAAUGCAGGGGCUUAACCCCUGAACUGCACUUGAAACUGUAUAUCUUGAGUACCGGAGGGGCAAUCGGAAUUCAUAGUGUAGCGGUGAAAUGCGUAGAUAUUAGGAGGGACACCAGUGGCGAAGGCGGGUUGCUGGAAGGCAACUGACGGUGAGGCGCGAAAGCGUGGGGAGCAAAC
rnacentral:rRNA from 1 species